CCUACGGGUGGCAGCAGUGAGGAAUAUUGGUCAAUGGGCGCAAGCCUGAACCAGCCACGCCGCGUGAGGGAUGACUGCCCUCCGGGUUGUAAGCUCUUUUUAUAAAGAAAUAAAGUGAGGCACGUGUGCAUUUAUGUACGUACUUUAUGAAUCAGGCUCGGCUAACUCCGGGCCAGCAGCCGCGGUAAUACGGAGGAUCCGAGCGUUAUCCGGAUUUAUUGGGUGUAAAGGGAGCGUAGAUGGGUUGUUAAGUCAGUUGUGAAAGGUUGCGGCUCAACCGUAGAAUUGCAAUGGAUACUGGCAGUCUUGAGUGCAGGUGAGGUAGGCGGAAUUCGUGGUGUAGCGGUGAAAUGCGUAGAUAUCACGAAGAACUCCGGUGGCGAAGGCAGCUUACUAAACUGCCACUGACAUUGAGGCUCGAAAGUGUGGGGAGCAAACAGGAUUAGAUACCCGAGUAGUC
rnacentral:rRNA from 1 species